GUCAUGUCUGACUCUUUGUGACCCCAUGGACUGUAGCCCACCAGGCUCCUCUGUCCAUGGAAUUUUCUAGGCAAGAAUACGGAGCAGGUUGCCAUUUCCUACUCCGGAAGAUCUUCCCAACCCAGGGAUCGAACCUGUCUCUCUUGCAUCUGCUGCAUUAGCAGGCGGAUUCUUCACCACUGUGCUACCUGGAAUACAAACAACUAAUUCAGGAAGAAAAAAAUAAGGAAUCUUUCAAGAACCAGCCUAUAACCAGGUCUCCAUCACACAUUAUUAAUGAAAGUCAACUCUAACAGAAGAACAUUUCUUAUUGGCAGUUGAAGAGAAACUGGAUUUUCAGGCGACCAGCUGUGUGGAGAAAGAUUUAAAUGCAUCACCAUAUUUUAUAUCUAGGUACACCUGACAGUUUCUGAUCAGUUGAAAAUGUGUCUUUUCUUGAAAAGUUCUCUAAAAGUAACUAGAAAAAUUUUUGGUUAAUUCUUUUUAUUUAACUUAGAUUUGCAUUGCAAAGACAAAUAUUAAGUAUAUUUACCAACUUCAGUAAACUCAGUUCAUAGACUCUUCAAAGUAAAAUUCAUCCUCACUUGCUAGGUUUAUACCUAUGACUCCAGGCUGACUCCAUUGUAUUUGGGUCUGUCUCCACUGUUAUAUGAGUGACUUCACUUUCACUUUUCACUUUCAUGCAUUGGAGAAGGAAAUGGCAAUCCACUCCAGUAUUCUUGCCUGGAGAAUCCCAGGGACAGAGGAGCCUGAUGGGCUGCCGUCUAUGGGGUUGCACAAAGUCGGACACAACUGAAGCAACUUAGCAGCAGCAGCCAUAGUUAUAUUUGAUAUAAAUGUUUGAUUGGGUUGGGGUAUGGGUAGUCUGGAGUAGUGUGGGUGGGAUUCUGAACUAUCCUGGGCUUUUAGAAGUUCUUUUCUCCUAUUCAGUUUUUUAAAGAUCAGUGUGUGAAUCACUUCAAUGCCUCUCACUGUUUAGCUUGCAUUUUACAAUACCUAUGUGAGCUCCAGGAGGGAGUAUGUUUAUUGUGCAUGCCAUUCAAUUUAACUUCUACUAGAGCAAAUGAUUACAGAGGGAAAAAACUGGAAAAUAAGUCCCUGAUGUAAAACUGGUCAUGAGGCCAAAACAGUAGUGCCAAUUAUGAUUUCAGUGCCUUACCCCUGUUACUUUGCCAGCAGCAUUUUCAAAAAUAUAUAAUUUAUUGUUGGCUUGGGCAGGCAUAUUAAAUAAUACUUUUUCU
ensembl:lncRNA